AGUGAACGCUGGCGGCAGGCCUAAUACAUGCAAGUCGAACGGCAGCACAGUAAGAGUUCGCCCCUACGGGUGGCGAGUGGCGGACGGGUGAGGAGUGCAUCGGCAUCCUCUUUUUCGUGGGGGACUACGUAGGGCAAGUUACGCUAAUAGCUCAUAUGACGUACGGGUGGAAGCAGGGGAUAAUCGCAGCUUUCCUGUUUCUAUGAGCUGAUGCCGCAUUAGCUAGGUGGGUGGGUAAAGGCCCACCAAGGCAACGAACCGUAGCUGGUCUGAGAGGGUGAUCCGCCACACUGGAACUGAGACACGGUCCAGACUCCUACGGGAGGCAGCAGUGGGGAAUAUUCCGCAAUGGGCGAAAGCCUGAUCCAGCCAUACCGCGUGAGUGAAGAAGGCCUUCGGAUUGUAAAGCCCUUUUGUUAGGAAAGAACAACAGCAGAUUAAUCCAUGGCUGUUCUGACGGUACCCAAAGAAAAAGCACCGGCUAACUUCGUG
rnacentral:rRNA from 1 species